UCGAGGAUCUUCGGCAAUGGGCGCAAGCCUGACCGAGCGACGCCGCGUGUGCGAUGAAGGCCUUCGGGUUGUAAAGCACUGUCGAGGGGGAGGAAGGGGCAACCUUGACCGACCCCUGGAGGAAGCACGGGCUAAGUUCGUGCCAGCAGCCGCGGUAAGACGAACCGUGCAAACGUUAUUCGGAUUCACUGGGCUUAAAGGGCGCGUAGGCGGGCCAUCAAGUCAGGGGUGAAAUCUUUCGGCUCAACCGGAAAAGUGCCUUUGAUACUGGUGGUCUCGAGGGAGGUAGGGGCAUGCGGAACUUCCGGUGGAGCGGUGAAAUGCGUAGAUAUCGGAAGGAACGCCGGUGGCGAAAGCGGCGUGCUGGACCUCUUCUGACGCUGAGGCGCGAAAGCUAGGGGAGCAAACGGGAUUAGAUACCCCCGUAGUCC
rnacentral:rRNA from 1 species